UAAGGGCGCACGGUGGAUGCCUUGGCACUAGAAGCCGAUGAAGGACGUUACUAACGACGAUAUGCUUUGGGGAGCUGUAAGUAAGCUUUGAUCCAGAGAUUUCCGAAUGGGGAAACCCAGCAUGAGUUAUGUCAUGUUAUCGAUAUGUGAAUACAUAGCAUAUCAGAAGGCACACCCGGAGAACUGAAACAUCUUAGUACCCGGAGGAAGAGAAAGAAAAUUCGAUUCCCUUAGUAGCGGCGAGCGAAACGGGAAGAGCCCAAACCAACAAGCUUGCUUGUUGGGGUUGUAGGACACUCUAUACGGAGUUACAAAGGACGACAUUAGACGAAUCAUCUGGAAAGAUGAAUCAAAGAAGGUAAUAAUCCUGUAGUCGAAAAUGUUGUCUCUCUUGAGUGGAUCCUGAGUACGACGGAGCACGUGAAAUUCCGUCGGAAUCUGGGAGGACCAUCUCCUAAGGCUAAAUACUCUCUAGUGACCGAUAGUGAACCAGUACCGUGAGGGAAAG
rnacentral:rRNA from 1 species